rnacentral:rRNA from 1 species
CCCAGACAGCCAGGAUGUUGGCUUAGAAGCAGCCAUCAUUUAAAGAAAGCGUAAUAGCUCACUGGUCGAGUCGGCCUGCGCGGAAGAUGUAACGGGGCUAAACCAUGCACCGAAGCUGCGGCAGCGACGCUUAUGCGUUGUUGGGUAGGGGAGCGUUCUGUAAGCCUGUGAAGGUGUGUCGUGAGGCAUGCUGGAGGUAUCAGAAGUGCGAAUGCUGACAUAAGUAACGAUAAAGCGGGUGAAAAGCCCGCUCGCCGGAAGACCAA